rnacentral:rRNA from 1 species
UACGUAGGGUGCAAGCGUUGUCCGGAAUUAUUGGGCGUAAAGAGCUCGUAGGCGGUCUGUCGCGUCUGCUGUGAAAAUCCAGGGCUCAACCCUGGACCUGCAGUGGGUACGGGCAGACUAGAGUGCGGUAGGGGAGAUCGGAAUUCCUGGUGUAGCGGUGAAAUGCGCAGAUAUCAGGAGGAACACCGGUGGCGAAGGCGGAUCUCUGGGCAUUACCUGACGCUGAGGAGCGAAAGUGUGGGGAGCGAACAGG